rnacentral:piRNA from 1 species
UUCAAUUCUGUGGUUGCUUGUAGUAUUAGC